UACGUAGGGUGCGAGCGUUAAUCGGAAUUACUGGGCGUAAAGGGCGCGUAGGCGGCCACCUAAGUCAGACGUGAAAUCCCUCGGCUCAACCGGGGAACUGCGUCUGAUACUGGGUGGCUUGAAUCCGGGAGAGGGAUGCGGAAUUCCAGGUGUAGCGGUGAAAUGCGUAGAUAUCUGGAGGAACACCGGUGGCGAAGGCGGCAUCCUGGACCGGCAUUGACGCUGAGGCGCGAAAGCCAGGGGAGCAAACGGG
rnacentral:rRNA from 1 species